rnacentral:ncRNA from 2 species
CAAUCACUAACUCCACUGCCAUCAA